UACGUAGGGGGCAAGCGUUGUCCGGAUUCAUUGGGCGUAAAGAGCGUGUAGGCGGCCAGGUAGGUCGGUUGUGAAAACUGGAGGCUUAACCUCCAGACGUCGACGGAAACCGCGUGGCUAGAGUCCGGAAGAGGAGAGUGGAAUUCCUGGUGUAGCGGUGAAAUGCGCAGAUAUCAGGAAGAACACCAAUGGCGAAAGCAGCUUUCUGGGACGGUACUGACGCUGAGACGCGAAAGCGUGGGGAGCGAACAGG
rnacentral:rRNA from 1 species